rnacentral:rRNA from 1 species
GACGACGCUGGCGGCGUGCCUAACACAUGCAAGUCAAGGAGAAUUCCCGACUUGUCGGGAUAGUAAACUGGCGAACGGGUGAGUAACACGUAGGUAAUCUACCCUCGGGAUCGGGAUAACCUCGCGAAAGUGGGGAUAAUACCGAAUAAAGUCUCGGUAUAAUUUGUCGAGAUGAAAGAUGGGGAUCUUCGGACCUAUUACCUGAGGAUGAGCCUGCGCCUGAUUAGCUAGUUGGUAGGGUAAAUGCCUACCAAGGCAACGAUCAGUAGCUGGUCUGAGAGGAUGAUCAGCCACAUUGGGACUGAGAUACGGCCCAGACUCCUACGGGAGGCAGCAGUGAGGAAUUUUGCGCAAUGGGCGAAAGCCUGACGCAGCAACGCCGCGUGACUGAUUAAGCUCUGAGGAGUGUAAAAGUCUGUCGUAGAGGAAGAAACUAUCCGAUAAGAAUAUUGUCGGAUACUGACGGUACUCUAUGAGAAAGCUCCGGCUAACUCCGUG